rnacentral:tRNA from 1 species
GAUAGAAAUAGAUCACCCUGACUUUUAAUCAGUAGGUCCAGGGUUCGAAUCCCUGCGCUCUCACCA